GUGGGGAAUAUUGGACAAUGGGGGGAACCCUGAUCCAGCCAUGCCGCGUGUGUGAAGAAGGCCUUUUGGUUGUAAAGCACUUUAAGCGAGGAGGAGGCUACCGAGAUUAAUACUCUUGGAUAGUGGACGUUACUCGCAGAAUAAGCACCGGCUAACUCUGUGCCAGCAGCCGCGGUAAUACAGAGGGUGCAAGCGUUAAUCGGAUUUACUGGGCGUAAAGCGCGCGUAGGUGGCCAAUUAAGUCAAAUGUGAAAUCCCCGAGCUUAACUUGGGAAUUGCAUUCGAUACUGGUUGGCUAGAGUAUGGGAGAGGAUGGUAGAAUUCCAGGUGUAGCGGUGAAAUGCGUAGAGAUCUGGAUGAAUACCGAUGGCGAAGGCAGCCAUCUGGCCUAAUACUGACACUGAGGUGCGAAAGCAUGGGGAGCAAACAGGAUUAGAUACCCCAGUAGUCC
rnacentral:rRNA from 1 species